rnacentral:rRNA from 1 species
AUUGAACGCUGGCGGCAGGCCUAACACAUGCAAGUCGAGGGGUAACGAGAGGAAAGCUUGCUUUCCUUGUCGACGACCGGCGCACGGGUGAGUAACGCGUAUCCAACCUGCCCCCAACUAGGGAAUAACCUUGCGAAAGUAAGACUAAUACCCUAUAAUUUCCUCAGAUGACAUCUGACGAGGAAUAAAGAUUUAUCGGUUGUGGAUGGGGAUGCGUCUGAUUAGCUUGUUGGCGGGGUAACGGCCCACCAAGGCAACGAUCAGUAGGGGUUCUGAGAGGAAGGUCCCCCACAUUGGAACUGAGACACGGUCCAAACUCCUACGGGAGGCAGCAGUGAGGAAUAUUGGUCAAUGGGCGAAAGCCUGAACCAGCCAAGUAGCGUGCAGGAUGACGGCCCUAUGGGUUGUAAACUGCUUUUAUACAGGAAUAAAGUUAGCCACGUGUGGUUAUUUGUAGGUACUGUAUGAAUAAGGACCGGCUAAUUCCGUGCCAGCCGCCGCUGUAA